UCAAGUGACUAAGUGUAUGUGGUGGAUGCCUUGGCGAUCACAGGCGAUGAAGGACGUAGUAGCUUGCGAUAAGCUGCGGGGAGCCGGCAAACGGGCUUUGAUCCGCAGAUUUCCGAAUGGGGGAACCCACCGACGUAGGUCGGUAUCACGUACUGAAUACAUAGGUGCGUGAGGCGAACGGAGCGAACUGAAACAUCUAAGUAGCUCCAGGAAAAGAAAUCAACCGAGAUUGCGAAAGUAGCGGCGAGCGAAAUUGCAGCAGCCCAGUGUUCUGAUAGCACGAACGACAGCAGAAGGGUCUGGAAAGGCCCGCUAUAGAGGGUGAUAGCCCCGUAUGCGAAAUCGAACGUGUGGUACUAAGGAACCGAUAAGUAGGGCGGGACACGUGACAUCCUGUCUGAAGAUGGGGGGACCAUCCUCCAAGGCUAAAUACUCGUGAUCGACCGAUAGUGAACCAGUACUGUGAAGGAAAGGUGAAAAGAACCCCGGGAGGGGAGUGAAAUAGAACCUGAAACCGCAUACAUACAAACAGUAGGAGCCCCUGCAGUGGGGUGACUGCGUACCUUUUGCAUAAUGGGUCAGCGACUUACGUUUUGUGGCGAGCUUAACCGAGUAGGGGAGGCGUAGCGAAAGCGAGUUCGAAUAGAGCGAAGAGUCUCAAGGCGUAGACCCGAAACCAGAUGAGCUAUCCAUGGCCAGGUUGAAGGUGUGGUAACACACACUGGAGGACCGAACCGACUAGUGUUGCAAAAUUAGCGGAUGAGCUGUGGAUAGGGGUGAAAGGCUUAACAAAUCUGGAGAUAGCUGGUUCUCCCCGAAAACUAUUGAGGUAGUGCCUCGUGUAUUGCUCCAGGGGGUAGAGCACUGUUAUGGCUAGGGGGACAUGGCGUCUUACCAAACCAUGGCAAACUCCGAAUACUUGGAAGUAAGAGCACGGGAGACAGAGCACCGGGUGCUAACGUCCGGACUCAAGAGGGAAACAACCCAGACCGCCGUUUAAGGUCCCAAAUAUUGACUAAGUGGAAAACGAAGUGUGAAGGCUAAGACAGUCAGGAAGUUGGCUUAGAAGCAGCCAUCCUUCAAAGAAAGCGUAAUAGCUCACUGAUCGAGUCCUCAUGCGCGGAAGAUGUAACGGGGCUAAGUCAAUAACCGAAAGCGCGGAUUUGCACGCAAGUGCAAGUGGUAGGGGAGCGUUCUGUAAGCCUGCGAAGGUGGUUCGAGAGGACUGCUGGAGGUAUCAGAAGUGCGAAUGCUGACAUGAGUAACGUUAAAGCGGGUGAAAAGCCCGCUCGCCGUAAGCCCAAGGUUUCCUGCUCUACGUUCAUCGGAGCAGGGUGAGUCGGCCCCUAAGGCCAGGCUGAGAAGCGUAGUCGAUGGGAAGCAGAUUAAUAUUUCUGCACCAUGUGCAAGUGCGAUGGGGGGACGGAGUGCGAAAGAUCAUCCGGGUGUUGGAUGUCCCGGUUUGUGAGUGUAGAAGGCCGACAGGCAAAUCCGUCGGCGGAUCUUCGAGACAAAGCAUCGAGGUUCUACGGAACCGAAGUGAUCGGAAGUGCUUCCAGGAAAAGCCUCUAAGCUUCAGCUUGUACAUGACCGUACCGUAAACCGACACUGGUGGGCGAGUUGAAUAUACUCAGGCGCUUGAGAGAACUCGGGAGAAGGAACUCGGCAAAUUGACCCCGUAACUUCGGGAUAAGGUGUGCCUUUGUAGCGUGAAGAGAGAAACACUCGGAGCGUGAAGAGGCCUCAGAGAAUCGGUGGCUGCAACUGUUUAUUAAAAACACAGCACUCUGCAAAGACGAAAGUCGACGUAUAGGGUGUGAUGCCUGCCCGGUGCUGGAAGAUUAAGUGAUGGGGUGAGAGCUCCUGAUCGAAGUCCCAGUAAACGGCGGCCGUAACUAUAACGGUCCUAAGGUAGCGAAAUUCCUUGUCGGGU
rnacentral:rRNA from 1 species